rnacentral:rRNA from 1 species
GUCUACCACCAUACUAUCCUAAAUGUGCCCAAUCUCGUCUGAUCUCGGAAGCUAAGCAGGGUCAGGCCUGGUUAGUACUUGGAUGGGAAAAAGAUCUUCAGAGGAGACUGCUCAGAGACAAGCAGUUUGGAGACA